AGUGAACGCUGGCGGUAGGCCUAACACAUGCAAGUCGAACGGCAGCACAGUAAGAGCUUGCUCUUACGGGUGGCGAGUGGCGGACGGGUGAGGAAUACAUCGGAAUCUACUUUUUCGUGGGGGAUAACGUAGGGAAACUUACGCUAAUACCGCAUACGACGUACGGGUGAAAGCAGGGGACUUUGGGACCUUGUGCGAUUGAAUGAGCUGAUGUCGGAUUAGCUAGUUGGCGGGGUAAAGGCCCACCAAGGCGACGAUCCGUAGCUGGUCUGAGAGGAUGAUCAGCCACACUGGAACUGAGACACGGUCCAGACUCCUACGGGAGGCAGCAGUGGGGAAUAUUGGACAAUGGGCGCAAGCCUGAUCCAGCCAUACCGCGUGGGUGAAGAAGGCCUUCGGGUUGUAAAGCCCUUUUGUUGGGAAAGAAAAGCAGCAGGUUAAUACCCCGCUGUUCUGACGGUACCCAAAGAAUAAGCACCGGCUAACUUCGUG
rnacentral:rRNA from 1 species